rnacentral:lncRNA from 1 species
CUGAAUAUUUAAUACAACAUAACGAGAUCUUAAAGUGAAAGACUAAAUUUAUCACAAUAAUAGCAUGGGACAAACACCAUAUGAUCCGACUAUAUUAACAAGGCCCGUGACAUAUCCAAAUCAUGAAAUCUCAAGAAGACGAGAGAGAGAGAUUAAACACAUAGCUACUCGUACAAACCCUCAGCCCCAAGGGUGGACUACUCCCUCCUCAUCAUCGCCUCCGCCGGGAUGAUGAAGAAGGCCACUGGAGAUGAUUCCCCUCCGAUAGGGUGCCCAAACAGGCUCCCAAUUGGUUUUUGGUCGAUAGAGAGAGUUGCGGUGGCGGAACUUCUGCUCUAGGGUUAUUGGAAUCACGUCAAGAUGGGCAAAGAGGUUCCCACUAGGUACGGGGGCAGGCACGCCCUGGUGCCUAGUGGGCAGCUUGGGGCUUCUCUGGUUUGCUUUCUUGGUCCUGUGGAUCUGCGCAGAAAAAAAUCUUUAAAAAGUUUCAUGGCAUUUGGACUCCAUUUGAUAAUGAUUUACUGCGAAGUAAAAAACAAGCAAAAACUGCAACUCACACUGAAAACUAUAUCAAUUGAUUAGUCCCAAAAAAUAUAUAAAGUUGCUAUAAAAUAAUUGUAAAACAUUCAAGAAUGAUAAUAUAACAAUAUGAAAUCAUCAAAAAUACGUUGAAGACGUAUCAGCCUCUUUCCUUUGUGGUAUAUCUCGGCCUACCUAAAUUGGAUCCGUGGACGACACAUGGAUCACCCAACCUGGAUGCGUGCAGCUCCGGCUGAUCUCCCUUGUUUAAUCAAUUUUCUAUGCUCGUAUUAGUACUUGUGCUGGAUUUCCAACCCAAUGCACCGAGUACUAGUUGAUGCAUGUGAUCCAUGGAUGUUUGAAUUGUAUAUAUCUCAAAAGAAAAUAUUUGUGUUGUGUAUCCACUUAAUUAACAUGUUGAUUGAAUUGUAUACAUCUUAAACAUAAAACAAAAUUGCUGGAUUUUUUAAAAAUUCUAAUUAGUUAGUAGUAGUGCUUGGUAUUAUAAACGUGCUACUAUAUUUCCUAGUAGUAGUAGCAUGAGGUAAAACACGCACUAAUGCUAAAAAUUAGCUGUAGCGUCCUAGCAAUAGUGCGGGAUCCGUGCUACUGGUAGUCCAGAAAUCAGCACUAAUGCUAAGGUAUUUCCUAGUAGUGGGGGUUCCAGUGUCGAUCCCACCUGUGUCUGAUGGACCCCUACGUGAGCUGGCUUCCUAGCUGCUGCAAAGGUUUGGGGAAGCAGCUGAGCAAGAAAAGGAGUUGAUGAUUCAAGCUAUUGAUGGGCUCAUGUUAGCAAGAGGUAUUUCCUAGUCGUGGGGGUUCCAGUAUAGAUCCCACCGGUGUCUGACGGACCCCGACGUGAGCUGGCUUCCUAGCUGUUGCAAUGGUUUGGGGAAGCGGCUGAGCAAGAAAAGGAGUUGAUGAUUCAAGCUAUUUAUGGGCUCUGGUUAGCAUGAAAUGAAGCAAGAGAUGGAAAGAGGAUAACUUACGCGCGAGCAGUUGCUAAUUCAG